GAUGAACGCUGGCGGCGUGCUUAACACACUGCAAGUCGAACGAAGCACUUUGAUCGAUUUCUUCGGAUUGAAAUUUUAGUGACUGAGUGGCGGACGGGUGAGUAACGCGUGGGUAACCUGCCUCACACAGGGGGAUAACAGUUGGAAACGGCUGCUAAUACCGCAUAAGCGCACAGUACCGCAUGGUACAGUGUGAAAAACUCCGGUGGUGUGAGAUGGACCCGCGUCUGAUUAGCUAGUUGGCAGGGCAACGGCCUACCAAGGCAACGAUCAGUAGCCGACCUGAGAGGGUGACCGGCCACAUUGGGACUGAGACACGGCCCAAACUCCUACGGGAGGCAGCAGUGGGGAAUAUUGCACAAUGGGGGAAACCCUGAUGCAGCGACGCCGCGUGAGCGAAGAAGUAUUUCGGUAUGUAAAGCUCUAUCAGCAGGGAAGAAGAAAUGACGGUACCUGACUAAGAAGCACCGGCUAAAUACGUGCCAGCAGCCGCGGUAAUACGUAUGGUGCAAGCGUUAUCCGGAUUUACUGGGUGUAAAGGGAGCGCAGGCGGAAGGCUAAGUCUGAUGUGAAAGCCCGGGGCUCAACCCCGGUACUGCAUUGGAAACUGGUCAUCUAGAGUGUCGGAGGGGUAAGCGGAAUUCCUAGUGUAGCGGUGAAAUGCGUAGAUAUUAGGAGGAACA
rnacentral:rRNA from 1 species